rnacentral:siRNA from 1 species
UCGAUUUGUAUGCUUUGGCUGA